AAUUUUCCUUACACUCAUUGAAAUCAACUUACAAAGCAAAUAUGGUUGACAUGUCAUGCGUAUUUAUUAGGAAAUAAACCUAAGGCUGAAAACUUCAGCUGAUCACGUAAGCUUGGUAUAGAUCUAGGCCAAAUAUUAAGACCAGACAAACAUACUAUAAACCAACUUAUUUUGGUAAUCAUAAGGAACAAACCUCAUCCUGAUAAUUAUCCUGACGAUUGGAGUAAAAAAAAGAUGAAGACCACAUUAUAGAUUAGAAAGACAUACACUUUAUGCAACAACUCUACAUAUCAUUUUAGAUCUUUUGCUAAUUUAUUGUAUACAUUUACUGAGAACCAAACUUUUGUCAAAAACAACAGCUUAUAAAUUGCUUUGCCGAUCACAGCUGCAUACGAACGCAGAGGUCCAGCCCUGAACAGUUAGGGCAAAAAUUGACACAAUAUUUGCACUUGAUACAGGUCUGAAUUUUGAUUGUAAUUAAAUAUUUGACACAUAAUAGAUUUUUGACACAGAAUAACUGUACUCAAAGAACUUAGAAUUGGUUAUAUGAUUUGAAUUUAUAUUCAUUGUUUUGUAUUUGUGCAAUACACUAUGCUGUUUGGAAUUGACCCCUUCACAAAAAAAAUAAAAAAAAAUACCCCCCUUAUUUUUUUGAUUUUGUGCAAUACACUAUGCUGUUGUGUAUUAAACCCUCC
rnacentral:lncRNA from 1 species